rnacentral:rRNA from 1 species
GACGGGGGGGGCAAGUGUUCUUCGGAAUGACGGGGCGUAAAGGGCACGUAGGCGGUGAAUCGGGUUGAAAGUGAAAGUCGCCAAAAAGUGGCGGAAUGCUCUCGAAACCAAUUCACUUGAGUGAGACAGAGGAGAGUGGAAUUUCGUGUGUAGGGGUGAAAUCCGUAGAUCUACGAAGGAACGCCAAAAGCGAAGGCAGCUCUCUGGGUCCCUGCCGACGCUGGGGUGCGAAAGCAUGGGGAGCGAACAGG